rnacentral:rRNA from 1 species
UGGGUAACCUGCCUCAAAGAGGGGAAUAGCCUCCCGAAAGGGAGAUUAAUACCGCAUAAUAUGUUUUAAUCGCAUGAUUUUAACAUCAAAGGAUUUUCUUCGGAACUUCCACUUUGAGAUGGACCCGCGGCGCAUUAGCUAGUUGGUGAGGUAACGGCUCACCAAGGCAACGAUGCGUAGCCGACCUGAGAGGGUGAUCAGCCACAUUGGGAACUGAGACACGGCCCAGACCUCUACGGGGAGG